GAGCUGUGGUGGGCUCCACCCAGUUCGAGCUUCCAGGCUGCUUUGUUUACCUAAUCAAGCCUGGGCAAUGGCAGGCGCCCCUCCCCCAGCCUCGCUGCCGCCUUGCAGUUUGAUCUCAGACUGCUGUGCUAGCAAUCAGCGCGACUCUGUGGGCGUAGGACCCUCCAAGCCAGGUGCCGGAUAUAAUCUCGUCGUGCGCCGUUUUUUAAGCCCGUCGUAAAAGCGCAGUAUUCGGGUGGGAGUGACCCGAUUUUCCAGGUGCCGUCCGUCACCCCUUUCUUUGACUCAAAAAGGGAACUGGCUGACCCCUUGCGCUUCCCAAGUGAGGCAAUGCCUCGCCCUGCUUAGGCUCGCGCACGGUGCAGGCACCCACUGACCUGCGCCAACUGUCUGGCACUCCCUAGUGAGAUGAACCUGGUACCUCAGAUGGAAAUGCAGAAAUCACCUGUCUUCUGCGUCGCUCACGCUGGGAGCCGUAGACCGGAGCUGUUCCUAUUCGGCCAUCUUGGCUCCUCCACCCGGAUGAUUUUUCUUACUUUCUAUAGUCCUCAUUCUAUAACUUUUGAUCCAAAUUAUUCCAGAGAUUGGAUUAAAAACAAAUGGAUGUGGCAUACAGGGAGCAUCUCAAAUCAUUCAUUCUCACCAGCAGGUCUCAUGUGCUCCGAAACCAACUUGAAGCACUCUCCUUCUUCCUCUAGCAUGGUGACUGGAUUCCAAGGGAAACUGUAUCAAGAAAAACAGCACCAAAAAAAGUCAUGUCACCUUUCCUGACCAGUGAUGCAGCUUCCAUUCUACCACAUUCCAUUCAUCAAGAAUGUGAUGGUUGGAGCUGUUGUAGCUGUAUUACAACCAGGAGGAAAGACUUUGCUGACGUACUAAGGAUGGAAACUAAAAAAAGUUCUUUAGAUCAAGAGGAACUACUUGAAGAGCAGCACUCAACAAAUCUGCACAUCGACCUGGUUUAAAUGCUAAGAUCCUGCCCUUGUAGAUUCGAUGCCAUAAUGAUGAGACUUUCACAAGGUCAAGGGAGAAGGUCCUCCAUGCAUCACUGCUGUCAGAGAGAUUCCAGCUCCUCUCCAAUGCUCAUCAAAGAUAUGAGAGAGAUGAAUGCAUAUAACAGAAGGAGUGUGGAUAACAGAUACCUAAGAGAGAAUGAGAAUUGGAAAAGACCGACUGAACAGACAAGGGAGCUAAAUACAGGACAAGAACUGGAACUCACUGGACUGCAAGAGUGAAGGAGUUAUAAUGCUCCUGCUCUCCAAGCUGUGGGUGGCUGGAGU